GCGUUCCCGGAAGAGGGAGCACAGAGAACUCUUACUAGGCCAGUGUGUCACAGACAGGAGAUUACAGCUGCACGGACAUAUUUGGAAACUUGUUCUAUAACAAGUCUGGAUCACGUUGUGUAACUAAGGUACAAUUACAUAGCCUGUAAUAUCUAUCAUCUGAAAACACCCCUCAAGGAGUUAAAAAGUGGUCAGGCAGCAGAACUCACAGCUGCUAAAGGAGACGUCAUCAGACCGUCCUAUAUGCUGCCCUUCCAUCACAGCGGCACAUUCAUCCUCUCAGGAAUGCUCACAAAAUGGAGGUGUGAAGCUCACAGCCUGGCCAAAGCCUGGGAGCUAAGCCUGCCAACGACAAGUAGGCUACAUACCCCCCCAUCCAUCACAUGUGCCCAUCCAUGUCCUUCAAGACAUUACAGCACCGCUCACCGGGGACCAGACCCGACCGGGACGCCGACCGGGACGCCGACCGGAGCAGCUGACCAACGCCACCUACCUGAGAA